rnacentral:tRNA from 1 species
AUGUGGCUGGAGUGGUAGCACGCUUGCCUGGUAUGCACGGGGCGCUGGGUUCGAUCCUCACCACCACAUA